rnacentral:rRNA from 1 species
CACAAUGGGGGAAACCCUGAUGCAGCCAUGCCGCGUGUGUGAAGUAAGGCCUUCGGGUUGUAAAGCACUUUCAGUAGGGAGGAAGGUAGUGUAGUUAACACCUGCAUUAUUUGACGUUACCUACAGAAGAAGCACCGGCUAACUCCGUGCCAGCAGCCGCGGUAAUACGGAGGGUGCGAGCGUUAAUCGGAAUUACUGGGCGUAAAGCGCAUGCAGGCGGCCUGUUAAGUCAGAUGUGAAAGCCCGGGGCUUAACCUCGGAAUUGCAUUUGAAACUGGCAGGCUAGAGUCUUGUAGAGGGGGUAGAAUUUCAGGUGUAGCGGUGAAAUGCGUAGAGAUCUGAAGGAAUACCAGUGGCGAAGGCGGCCCCCCUGGACAAAGACUGACGCUCAGAUGCGAAAGCGUGGGGAGCAAACAGGAUUAGAUACCCUGGUAG